rnacentral:rRNA from 1 species
UCGAAAUCAUCUUCGGUUAAAUCCAAAACGGCAGAAGCCUGAAUGAGCUUAAUAGAGGCCAAAGCGGUCUGGAAACGUACGGAUUGUUCAGUAACUUGACUCAUGAUUUCUUACCUAUUAGUGGUUGAACAGCAUCGGACUCAGAUAGUAAUCCACGCUCUUUUAAAAUGUCAACAAGAGAAUCUCUACCAUGAACAAAAUGUGACUCAUAUCUAAACCAGUCCUUGACGAACGUGCCAAGCAUAUUAAGCCACUUCUCCUCAUCCAACGCGUCAGUUUUUGACAGAAUCGUUAGUUGAUGGCGAAAGGUCGCAAAGUAAGAGCUUCUCGAGCUGCGCAAGGAUAGGUCGAAUUUUCUC